rnacentral:rRNA from 1 species
AGAGGGCCGCUACCACGCGAGUGGAUGCCAAUCCCCAAAACCUCUCUCAGUUCGGACUGGAGUCUGCAACCCGACUCCACGAAGCUGGAUUCGCUAGUAAUCGCGCAUCAGCCACGGCGCGGUGAAUACGUUCCCGGGCCUUGUACACACCGCCCGUCAAGCCAUGGGAGCCGGGGGUACCUGAAGUGCGUAACCGCGAGGAGCGCCCUAGGGUAAAACUGGUGACUGGGGCUAAGUCGUAACAAGGUAAC